rnacentral:rRNA from 1 species
UGGGGAAUAUUGCACAAUGGGCGAAAGCCUAAUGCAGCAACGCCGCGUGAGUGAUGAAGGCCUUCGGGUUGUAAAGCUCUGUCUUUUGGGACGAUAAUGACGGUACCAAAGGAGGAAGCCACGGCUAACUACGUGCCAGCAGCCGCGGUAAUACGUAGGUGGCAAGCGUUGUCCGGAUUUACUGGGCGUAAAGGAUGCGUAGGCGGAUUUUUAAGUGAGAUGUGAAAACCCUAAGCUUAACUUGGGGACUGCAUUUCAUACUGGAAAUCUAGAGUGCGGGAGAGGAGAAUGGAAUUCCUAGUGUAGCGGUGAAAUGCGUGGAGAUUAGGAAGAACACCAGUGGCGAAGGCGAUUCUCUGGACCGUAACUGACGCUGAGGCAUGAAAGCGUGGGUAGCAAACAGGAUUAGAUACCCUGGUAGUCCACGCCGUAAACGAUGAGUACUAGGUGUAGGAGGUAUCGACCCCUUCUGUGCCGCAGUUAACACAAUAAGUACUCCGCCUGGGAAGUACGAUCGCAAGAUUAAAACUCAAAUGAAUUGACGGGGUCAUAGCUGUUUUCCU